CUCUGCUAACAGAUCACCACAUUGUUGCCAGGACCAUAAUGAAUGCAAUUCUUUCUCCUAAGGAAUCCGGUGGCAACUGUUAAAUGUUAAGCACAAAGCUUCAGGUUGUACCUAUAAUACACACCCACAUCGCAACCUACCCUACAGGCUAUUUCUGGGUGUGAUUUCAUGCACCUGCACAUGAUGAGACAGGAGACCUCUUUGGCUACUUAUAGUAACUGGUGUGAUUUCUCAGUAAUCUUUAAUGGGUAAUAUUGCUGACUGAGGAGAAUUUGAGGUAGGAUGAAACAUUUCUGUGCAGGGAUUGGGGAGGAAGCACUCAUUUAGAUAUAUAGCAAUGACUUAGGUUUUUCCAAUCAAGCCUAGAGCCAAAUUUGGCUUUGGAAGCAUGUGGUGCUCAGUGGCUAUGCCACAGGGAAGUCCCCUGAAAAGGGCACAUAAGCUUUUGCUCAGUACAGGGAGAACAUUAGCAGGGAGGCAAAGUCUGUUCUCCGUGACAUCAGCCGUCCCUUCGUGGACAUUCUAUUGUCUCCUAGAGAGACCUUGGAAUCCCUGUGAUGUCACCAGUAUCGUUGUGACAACCAAUUCCCUACUUUUUCUCUUAGUGUCCAAAGGAUAUAUCCACAGACAUGUUUGCCCGUCUUUGUAGGCGCUUUGGGAGAGUUGAUGUUGAUAGAGAAGAGUCUAGAGUGAAGCAAACGAAACCUAAAGAGGCCUGCAGACAGACGUCAUCCCCUGAAAAUGUCCUAAACAAGGUGCAGGCCAACGAGGAAGAGGAGAGGCUGAAUAGAGAACUGGAGCUAACUACCAAGGAGAGAAAUGAGCUGACAGAUCGCCUCCUUUAUGUGACAGGUGGAUCCAUGAGCAAGAGGUAUGCAUUGCUCCAAACAAACGACCUUGUUCUAAACCUCAUCUCCCAUAGAAU
rnacentral:lncRNA from 14 species